rnacentral:misc_RNA from 1 species
CAAAUAUUUUCAGAAAGCCAGACAGAAAUGGAAAAUCAGAAGUCUCAGUUCAUAAGCAAAAUUGCAGAUCAGCAAAAAAUGCUGGCGGAACAGGAGGAGGCAUACAAGAAGCUGAGUGAGGAGUACAAGCAAGUGGAAGGUUGGUUCCAGGAGAGCAAGGAAAAUCUCAAAGCAGUUGAAAGGAAAGUAGAAGAAAUGGCNNNNNCCAGAAGAAUACUGAUUCCAAAGAUCAGAUAGUUGCUGAAAUGGAAGAAACAAUUGAGGACCUGAAAAGAGAUCUUGAAGUAAAAGGAGAUGAUUUGAAUACGUUGGUUGAGAAUGUCCGCAAUAUUGAAGUUAAGCUCCGGUUGUCGAACCAGAAGCUCCGGGUCACGGAACAAUUACUAGCUGAGAAGGAAGAGAGCUCUAGGAAAGCAGAAGCAAGGUAUCAGCAAGAGCUGAGAGUGCUGGAGGAAAGGAUUG